GUGCUCACUUCGGCAGCACAGAUACUGAAACUAAACUCUGCAGAGAAGAUUAGCAUGGUCCCUGCGCAAAGAUGACAAUCAAAUUCAUGAAGCGUGCCUUAUUUUA
ensembl:snRNA U6 U6 spliceosomal RNA